rnacentral:lncRNA from 1 species
GCACUUUCCCCGCCUGCAUCUGAGGCGUGGCGCAGCUGGGAGCAAAGCACAGGUGGGCUGGGCGCGGUUUGGGGUUCGGGCGUGGCAGAGUGGCGGCGGGGUCUGGGGAAGAGUUGUCUUGGGGGCAGCGCCAGCCACCAGAGCCCGAGUCAGCGCGGCCAGGACUCUGCAGGGGCAGGUAGCGACCCUUAGAGACGCAACGUGGCGCAGCGGACUCGGCUGCGUGGGGCAAGGGCCGGGGCCGGACACAGGAGCAGCGGGGAUGCCGGGUGCGCUCCGAGGGUGUGGCCCCCGGGCUGUGCGGGGCUCAGAGCUGCUUGCUGGGCGCGGUGCCCGACAAAGGCAGACUCUUUUCUCCUGGAGGCAGGAUGAUUGCCAACAGCUCCCGGAAAACAUCUGCUGACUUGGUCACUUCCAGGAGAAAGCUGCUGUCCCCAGAUAGUCUCAGCACAAGUCCUGGGGUUGCUCGUCACAGGCUGUUUGGCAUAACUGGGAUCAGGUGCCCAUCUUGAACCACUCACUGUAGCCAGCUCUGAACCAGGGGUAGAGAUCAGCCCCUAGUUGAGGGACUUGGGCAAAGAGUAGGGGAGGGGUUCCAGGUGGGCAGUGGAUACUGAUGGAGACAGGAGCUGGAGUGGGUGCCACGCCAGUUACCAUAGUCUCCCGGGUCCUGGAAUUGUGCUACAGGAGUCCAAAUGGGAUUCUCCAGCUCUGCAAACUCAGGAGUCACAGUUUCGGUUCAUAGUGUUGAUAUUUCUGGUCUCUGUAUAAGAAAUAUAUUUUGUUGAACUAUGUGACUAAUCAAGUUGUAAUGUUUUUUAAA